ensembl:miRNA
UAAUAACUAUUAGGUUGGUGCGAACAUAAUUGCAGUUUUUAUCAUUACUUUUAAUGGCAAAAACUGUAAUUACUUUUGCUCCAACCUAAUAUUUUAGU